rnacentral:rRNA from 1 species
AGAGUUUGAUCCUGGCUCAGGAUGAACGCUGGCGGCGUGCCUAAUACAUGCAAGUCGAGCGAACGGACGAGAAGCUUGCUUCUCUGAUGUUAGCGGCGGACGGGUGAGUAACACGUGGAUAACCUACCUAUAAGACUGGGAUAACUUCGGGAAACCGGAGCUAAUACCGGAUAAUAUUUUGAACCGCAUGGUUCAAAAGUGAAAGACGGUCUUGCUGUCACUUAUAGAUGGAUCCGCGCUGCAUUAGCUAGUUGGUAAGGUAACGGCUUACCAAGGCAACGAUGCAUAGCCGACCUGAGAGGGUGAUCGGCCACACUGGAACUGAGACACGGUCCAGACUCCUACGGGAGGCAGCAGUAGGGAAUCUUCCGCAAUGGGCGAAAGCCUGACGGAGCAACGCCGCGUGAGUGAUGAAGGUCUUCGGAUCGUAAAACUCUGUUAUUAGGGAAGAACAUAUGUGUAAGUAACUGUGCACAUCUUGACGGUACCUAAUCAGAAAGCCACGGCUAACUACGUGCCAGCAGCCGCGGUAAUACGUAGGUGGCAAGCGUUAUCCGGAAUUAUUGGGCGUAAAGCGCGCGUAGGCGGUUUUUUAAGUCUGAUGUGAAAGCCCACGGCUCAACCGUGGAGGGUCAUUGGAAACUGGAAAACUUGAGUGCAGAAGAGGAAAGUGGAAUUCCAUGUGUAGCGGUGAAAUGCGCAGAGAUAUGGAGGAACACCAGUGGCGAAGGCGACUUUCUGGUCUGUAACUGACGCUGAUGUGCGAAAGCGUGGGGAUCAAACAGGAUUAGAUACCCUGGUAGUCCACGCCGUAAACGAUGAGUGCUAAGUGUUAGGGGGUUUCCGCCCCUUAGUGCUGCAGCUAACGCAUUAAGCACUCCGCCUGGGGAGUACGACCGCAAGGUUGAAACUCAAAGGAAUUGACGGGGACCCGCACAAGCGGUGGAGCAUGUGGUUUAAUUCGAAGCAACGCGAAGAACCUUACCAAAUCUUGACAUCCUUUGACAACUCUAGAGAUAGAGCCUUCCCCUUCGGGGGACAAAGUGACAGGUGGUGCAUGGUUGUCGUCAGCUCGUGUCGUGAGAUGUUGGGUUAAGUCCCGCAACGAGCGCAACCCUUAAGCUUAGUUGCCAUCAUUAAGUUGGGCACUCUAAGUUGACUGCCGGUGACAAACCGGAGGAAGGUGGGGAUGACGUCAAAUCAUCAUGCCCCUUAUGAUUUGGGCUACACACGUGCUACAAUGGACAAUACAAAGGGCAGCGAAACCGCGAGGUCAAGCAAAUCCCAUAAAGUUGUUCUCAGUUCGGAUUGUAGUCUGCAACUCGACUACAUGAAGCUGGAAUCGCUAGUAAUCGUAGAUCAGCAUGCUACGGUGAAUACGUUCCCGGGUCUUGUACACACCGCCCGUCACACCACGAGAGUUUGUAACACCCGAAGCCGGUGGAGUAACCUUUUAGGAGCUAGCCGUCGAAGGUGGGACAAAUGAUUGGGGUGAAGUCGUAACAAGGUAGCCGUACGGAAGGUGCGGCUG